rnacentral:sRNA from 1 species
UUUUACCCUCAAAACAUGUCAGAGAUUGAAGCACAUAUUGGAUCCCACUAUGUGGUCCCCCGAAGCAGCUUCGACAGCGUACGGUUUGCCGUCUUUCUGCCCAGCCAAGCGAACAACCUUUCCUGGUGGGUAUAAAUCGUCAACAGAAUUUGUGAUAUAGGACUUCAAAGUCAAAGCAUACCUUUCUUGGCUUUUCUAGGAACGGACCAGCCAAGAUGGGUACAAAGACCGUGAUCCUGUCGUAGUUCGAGAACCUUACGACCAGCCUCCCAUAUACCAGUUUCUGUCACAAAGAGACCACCAGUAACCAAAUGUGCACAUAUCCCAGCGUGUGCAAACCAAGCCGCCACAUCGUGGCUAUUGGCUUGGCCAUUCCCACGGAUAGUGCACCCCCGAACGACACUGUUGAAUCUCUCAUGUCGUUCGGUAGCUUGGUGGAUUACUGGGCCAUACCUCAGCACGUCUCGUAUAACAUGACAGAGGUAAUGGACUUUUGGCUUCUUUGUGAUGAAAUCUGGAUUGAUCUCAUCGAGUAAAUCCUCCGAGUAACACUGAAAUUGGAGGUCUGCUUUGUGACAUACUAUGUAUUUAUCCAAAUUUUUUAUUACCGGGAACCAAAGAUGAG